rnacentral:lncRNA from 1 species
GACGCUAGGUUCCGGAACCUGACCUGAGCUGGGGCCUGUGCUUCCAGCGGGUGGUGGGGGGCCUGGUGUGCUGGCAUCAAGUAAGCCGACUACCUCGGCAAAGGCUUAGGGACAAGAGACCAGCAGCCUGAACUGGCUGGGGCAUCCGGAAGGCUUAGAUCUUGUGGCCAAGAGUUCAGACCGUGGCGAAGUGGAGAGUGACAUGCAGUUGGAUGGCGGUGACUGCGUGGUCCUGCAACCCUGGUUCCAGUCUGGCAAGCAUUGUAGACCUGGCUGCUGAAGACUGACGGGGCCCAGGGUCCGCUGCCCCCACCGCCAUCACCACCUCGGAACCCAGGGUAACGCUGUCAGUCUUUGGUAAGCCCAUGCUCUUCCUUUUAGAUCUGGGGACUAGUUACUCAGUUUUAUCAGAAUAUUCUUGACCCUCCUCAGUUCUUCUAUCUCUAUUGUGAGAGUCAAUGGAAUCCCC